AUGCUCGCUUCAGCAUAUACUGAAAUUGGAAGGAUACAGAGAAGAUUAGCACGACACACAAAUUUCUGAAGCAUUCCAUAUUUUU
rnacentral:snRNA from 1 species